rnacentral:rRNA from 1 species
UAAUGGAUAUACGGGGUGAAUAUGCGAAAUCCCGUGACCACUGGAGUCUUUACGAAGUUGCGCCUGAGGCUAUCCGGCUGAGGGCACGCCUGCCUGGGCGUCACGCCUCGCGUCGCUCSGCGCACCCUGAGCCACCCUCUCCGAGUAGGGGCAAUGGCGGGUGCGGAUGCGGAGAUUGGCCCCCCAUGCCUUGCGGCGCGGCGGGCCGAAGUGAAGGCCGCCGGCCGGGAACGGAUGCGGCGAGUGGUGGAGGGACACGCACGGUGCCGGAGCCUGCGCUUCGACCCCGGGCGCWGCUGGUGCAUGCAAGGAACCCAGGCUGUGGGGCGCGCUUGCAUGSGCCCCUCGGAACCCGACCCCAGGUCAGGCGGGGCCACCCGCUGAGCUUAAGCAUAUCAAUAAGCGGAGGAGAAGAAACUUAAGAAGGUUUCCCCUAGUAAAGGCGAGCAACUGGAAAAGACCAGCUUUGGAAUUCGGGAUCCCCCCCCCCCAAAUUAGAAUCUGGGAAAACUCACAAAG